rnacentral:rRNA from 1 species
AUUGAACGCUGGCGGCAGGCCUAACACAUGCAAGUCGAGCGAGCGGCGGACGGGUGUGUAAUGUAUGGGGACUGCCCGAUAGAGGGGGAUAACUACUGGAAACGGUGGCUAAUACCGCAUACUAUUGGAUAACCCAUAUGGGAUUAGCUCGUAGGUGGGGUAAAGGCUCACCUAGUCGACGGUCUCUAGCUGGUCUGCGAGGAUGAUCAGCCACACUGGGACUGAACCACGGCCCAGACUCCUACGGAGGCAGCAUUGGGGAAUAUUGCACAAUAGGCGCGAGCCUGAUGCAGCCAUGCGGCGUGGAGGAAGAAGGCAUUAGGGUUGUAAAGUACUUUCAGCGGGGAGGCGUUACCCGCAGAAGAAGCACCGGCUAACUCCGUGCCAGCAGCCGCGGUAAUAC